rnacentral:misc_RNA from 1 species
CUUAAACUUCCAACUUCCAAGCAACUGGUUGAUGAAAUUGGUAAAACGUGAUCUGGUGGUAGCUGAUUCGUAUCAUGACGACGAUGCAAGUUCACAAAAACACUUCACGAGUUUACGUCAUGUAUCAGAAAUUAUUCUUCGCAUUUGCAGUGGCCGUGUUUAUUGCAAAAGCAGGAACUGCUCUAAAAUGCGACGAUUGUAGCUACACUUCAAAGGCUCCAAAGUAUUUGCAAACGUGCAAAAAUACAAGAAGUGCUGACUGCUCAGGUUCCUGUUUCACUUCAAUUUGGACAGAUCAUAACGGAACAACGACUGUUUAUAGAGGUUGCAAUCGUGAGGACAAGACAUGUCCCUAUGCCCAAGCACUGUGUGACGCUGAAAUAGAAAAUGGAGAUGUUAAAUCCUGUCGCGCGGAGUGUUGUAAGACGGAUAAUUGCAACAAUUACACCCCCAGCAGUGCAACUGGCAUCAUGGCGACCAAGAUUACUGUCUUCGUGAUGAUGUUUUCAUGUUUUUUGUUUUCUUAAAUUAACGAGCUUUGCAUUUGUGAAACAGCCUUUGUGGCUUAGUCUUGUAUUAGUUUCUUUAGAACGACGCAAUGUUUAUAACAUUGUAACCAUUUAUAUAUCGUAAUUAAACUGUGACUGAUGCCUAGUGGUCUUGUGUUGACUUUGUACACGUCAUCAACGAGAGUUGAAUCACGGAUCAUAGCCAACUCAAUGAACGUUAUCAGUUAGAAAAGUGGCUUGGCUUCACAAGCUCGUUCCAGCUCUCGCAGUCUGUUUACUUUAGGCGUCGAUGCACUCUCACUGGUCGAGUGGACUUCUGCUUAAUCAAUCAAGGUUAAAACUUGCUCACAACUUAAAUACUCAUCUUCAUCUUGUAGUAAAAUCUUCAAACAGUUUCUAUCAGAAUAAUAUCUUAAAAUUAAACCCCCAAAGAG